UAAACAGCCCCGAUUUGACAGGU
rnacentral:miRNA from 1 species